rnacentral:rRNA from 1 species
GGUGGGGGGGGGUGCUACCAUGCAGUCGACGCGCAGCCCUUGAAUCUUCGGACGAGGGGGUGGGCGAGUGGCGAACGGGUGCGUAACACGUAGGGACCUACCCCGAGGAGAGGGACAACCGUUGGAAACGGCGGCUAAGCCCGCAUAGACUCGGCGACGAGUAAAGCUCCGGCGCCUUGGGAGGGACCUGCGGCCUAUCAGGUAGUUGGUGGGGUAACGGCCCACCAAGCCGACGACGGGUAGGGGGCGUGAGAGCGUGGCCCCCCACACGGGAACUGAGACACGGUCCCGACGCCUACGGGCGGCAGCAGUGAGGAAUCUUGCGCAAUGGGGGAAACCCUGACGCAGCGACACCGCGUGCGGGAAGAAGGCCCUCGGGUCGUAAACCGCUUUUCUGUGGGACGAGGAAGGACGGUACCACAGGAAUAAGUCCCGGCUAACUACGUGCCAGCAGCCGCGGUAAAACGUAGGGGGCGAGCGUUAUCCGGAAUUACUGGGCGUAAAGGGCGUCUAGGCGGCGAGGUAAGUCUCAUGUGAAAGCUCCCGGCUCAACUGGGAGAGGGCGUGGGAGACUGCCUGGCUAGAGUGUCGGAGGGGGGUGUGGAAUUCCCGGUGGAGUGGUGGAAUGCGUUGAGAUCGGGAGGAACACCAGAAGCGAAGGCGGCACCCUGGCCGACUACUGACGCUGAAGCGCGAAAGCGUGGGGAGCGAACGGGAUUAGAUACCCCGGUAGUCCACGCUGUAAACGAUGACAACUAGGUGUUGGGUGUCGAAGGACGCUCGGUGCCGCAGCAAACGCGAUAAGUUGUCCGCCUGGGGAGUACGGCCGCAAGGCUAAAACUCAAAGGAAUUGACGG